AUGACAAAUAUAAUUUCCGGCUGAUUCGUCCGAUUGUAGUCGAAAGAUUGACAUCCUCUUCGAUCCCGCAUAAAUCUUUACCAAAGAAACAACCUGAACUAAACUAAACACAUAAAACUUAAAUAGAAACAAACCCACCAUAGGGGUACUUACUAAACUGAAACAAACAAACCCACCAUAGGGUACUUACUACACUGAAACUAUGUAGUUUUAUUGAGAUCUAACGCAAAAACACAACAGAAUUGAAAGAGAAGGGACGGAAAUAACCAAAUUUCCGAAGAAAAUUGGUUAUUUCCGCCUUAGAAAACCCUAAUUAGAAAAUCAAAAAACCCUAUCCCUUUAGUAUCUCCUCUCCUCCUCUCUCCACCAAACUUGGCCGGCAGCCAAAUUCUCCCAAUCCUCAUUCUUCACCCUAAAUAGUGUGAGUGUCGCCAGGAACUUCAAUUUUGCUCUCUAUUCGAAUAGAUCUGGUCCUAAUUUGCGGUUUCAAUUCGUGAGAUUGAGUCGGCGAUUCUAAUUUGCUCUUUACUUAGCAAAUUCUGAUGAAAAAUUGAAUUUCGUUCUCCAUCUUCAAGGAGUCUGAAAUUUUUUCGAGAAUCUAUUAGGUAAACAGUCGCACUAGAGGACCUUGUUAUACAAGGUGACAUUUGAGAGCUUAGUACUUUUAAUUGUGUGAUGCUUUGUCUAAGAUAUUCACUUGUGUUAGCAGCGAUUGUCAAAGUUGGCGGGUGGCGGAGGAUUGAUCAUCUCCUUUUGAUUUUCUUUGCACAGAAAAUAGAGGUAUCAUAUUUCUUGAGAUAUAGAUGCGAAUAAGGACUGUAUGAAAGACACGGUGGGGACUGUCCUGUGUGUUUUCGGUGGAGAUCGAUUAGAGUGCUACUUGUUUUGGAUUAGGAAAAAUGUUUAAAUAAGCAAAAGUUGCUUGGAAAAAUACAUGAAAAGAUGUUUAUUUCUGUUUUGAAAACUAGUACAGUAAUAUUACAUUAGUUAAUGCAACACUUCUAGUUAUUAGUUAUUGUAGCCUAAUUAUUAGCCAAUAUCGUCUUUUCAUGUCCAUGAAGCCUAUAUAGUUGCUAAAUUAUGUUUCAAACAACUUAAAUUAGUCAUCUUCUUGAAUAAAAUCUCCUUGUUGGGCUUUUGUAGUUCUGAGCAUUAACAAAUUAAACCCCCAUAUAUUUUAUGCCUUAGGUUUUCCAGGUUUGAUCUCGUUGCUCCAAUCCUUUUAUGGGUAAUUAAAAUUUAUGUUUUGGUUAGUAUGAAAAUGGUAUGCCAUUCUUUAUUUAUCAUUCUGAAUACAAAUCUGCGUGCAAAAUUGUAUUCAUUCAUGUUCCAGGUAAAAGUUGGACACAAUGAAAACAUGUUUGAUCACUCUGUUUAUUGUUCUUGUUGUAAUCGUAGUCAUAUGUUUUAUUUCCUACAUUAAAAUUGUAGUCGUUUGUUUUGUUGUCCAUCUUAAUCAUUCCUAUUUUAUUUAGGAAAAAUUGAUAUUAUCGGUCCCAACUAUGGCCGAUUUACUUUAAAAGGUCCCAACUUUUGAUUAUGUCAGGGUGGUCCCAACUAUAGAGAGUGUUUUCCAAAAAUGGUCCCUUAGUUAAAAUUAAGUGCUAAAUAACUUAAUUAACACUCAUAUCUCUCGUGCAAUAAUCAUAUUUUUUAAUUAAAUGAAGUAAAUGGAACAGUAUGAUAUGCUUAAAUCAACUUAAUUAAUAGUUUAAUAAACCAAAGGACCAUUCUUGAAAAACACACCUUAAAGUUGAGACCACUCUAGAAUAAUCAAAAGUUGGGACCUUUAAAAGUUAAACGGCCAUAGUUGGAACUGUCAAUAUCAAUUUUUCCUUUUAUUUAUGUAUGCAGGUAGUUGAUGACUAUUAGAGCACUAAAACAGCAUAAUUGUUUGGGGCUUAUCAUGGAGACCCGUUGAAUCCUCAAUCUGAUUGUAGCUUGUAACAUCUUUGGCAUACUCUAAUUUUAGCUUGUAACUUCUAAGGCUUUUGCUAGAAUAUCAUGGGGCUAUUUUGUUUAUGGCAAUGUCAGACACAAUAUAUCUUCUGUUGGGUAAUUGUAAUUGAUAUAUUAUUAUUUAAUGAAAAUUAUAAUAAUUGAUAUA